AAAGUAGAAAAUUUUCGUAAACAUCUGGAAAAGAAAAAUGGAUGUAAUCACAAGGAUACUCAACAUGGCAUCGUUAUUAGCAGUGGCGAAAUGCACUAUUGAAUUAAUUAAGUUUUUAAUGUGGGAUGAAUGGUAUUUUUACAGACUGUCGAGCAACGAUACAAUAUCAUGGCCAGGUAGGCACUAGUCCGUUUGUCACCUCCAUCUUCUAACUCAGUAACUGCUGUCUUAAGUCUAGUCUCUCUUGGAGGAUAUUUUCUAUGAUCUUGGUUUACUGUUGCUUUUUGUUGGUCUGCACAGACUGAUGAGUUAUACGAGAUACAAGAAUAAGGUGGAUCUGAUGCCAGUGUCUGGACCAGUGUAUGUCAUCAUUUCAUCACUGACCCUCCUUGCGUUAGUUACAUACUGGCAUCACAUUCCCUCGGUAACAAUCUGGUCCUGGGACAUUUCUUCCUCUCCUUUGCUGCUCCUCUUCUUCAGACUCUUCUAUGCGUUUGCCUGGGGAAUCCUAAUAUUGGAAAAUGUGGUUUACAUUACACAAAGACACAUCCCACAUAUCAAACAGAUCUUUAACCUGAAGGACAAUAUCCAGUCACCUCUUCCUUCCCACCUUGCCAACUUAUGGGAGAGUUUUCCUCACCCUGGCUUAAUCACCUUCACUGUCAUCUUGUGGGUGACUCCGACCUUGACCUUAGAUAGGUGGCUUCUGGCAACAGUUCUCUCCUGGUACAUCUAUGUCCCAAGACGGGUCACAAAAAAGGAUUACAUCUACUUUUGUGAAUGUUAUAAUUAUGUUGAACAUUCUGAAGCACAUCUGUCAUAUUGAAAAUUGGAUUGCAUUUCCCAUCAAUAUAUUUUAGCGAUGCAUACCAUUUGCUGACUGGGUUCAAGGGCAAUAUGUGUUUCGUUGAACAUGAGAACCAACUAGUUCCUGAUCCCAUUACUGGAUCUAGAUAUUGAAAAGCAAUCUCCAAUAACAAUAACAUGUUUUGUUAUACAUAUACAUUAAUUUCCCCAUCUAUAUUUGUUGGCUGUGUGCUGCUUUACUGCAAUGAAAAUAUGUAAAUUCAGUAAUGCCAAGACAGAUCUCCUUUAGAAAUUGCCAUUCAUGCUAACACAACGUAGUGAAUCUUAAUAAUUUAUGUCUCCCCUUCCCAGAAGGGGACAUAUUGUUUUGGUGCGAAUUCUUCUGCUUCUCAGUCUUCCCGGGCCAUAACUUUUUUGUCUUUUGACAUAGGCCUUUGAUAUUUGGUACAUGUAUACCAUAAUAAGACAGUGUCGCGUACCAUUUUUGAUGACCUUUGAGGUAAAGGUCAAAUAUAAUUUUUGGGCAAUUUGUCCAGAUAUAACUUUUUUUGUCUUUUGACGUAGGCCUUUGAUAUUUGGUAUACAAUGAUAAUUACUGUGUCGCGUGCCAUUUUUGAUUACCCUUGACCUUUUAUGUGAAGAUCAUAUAAUAGAACUUUUUUUAUUGUUUGGACUAUAACUUUUUUGUCUUUAGACAUAGUCCUUUAAUAUUUUGAUAUAUCAUGAUAAGACAGUAUGCUGCACGUCAUUUUCGAUUACCUUUAAAAUGAAAUAAGCAUAUAUACGUAUAGUAUUCUUUACAGUGUUCUGUAUCAUUUAGUUCAGCUCCAACAAUCUUGAUAUUGGAGUACACCUCAGUGCCCAUGUGUCGUCAGUAUUCAUAACCCCUGACUAGGUUAAAUGUUCCUAUCUCAGCCACGUACUACUAGUAUUUGACAAACCUGAAUUUCACCCCCACCCCCCCCAAAAUGGGUCACUGUUGUCUGCAUUUAACUAUCAAUCCACUGAGGCUAAUGUAACGGUUAGGCCUCUGAAACUGUCAAGUCGUAAGUUCCAUUUACCAUCAUGUGUUCACAACACUACCAUGAAGCAAAUAUACAUAUACCUGUAGGUAACUGGUAUGUACCAUAACUCGUAAUUUUCUACUUUAAAGAUGAUCCUUAAAAAAUAUUUGAAAAACUAUGGAAAAUGAAAGGGGAUAUCGAGACAUCAGUUUUAGUGUGCCAAAAGAAUUCUUCCUGGUUUUUCAUUGAUUAAUCAGCCAAUCUAACUGAGUAUAAUAUUAAUAAUAUUGAACCCAGUCGCUAGUGACCAUUUUCAGUGAAAACGUCUUGAUUGUCGGACAUUUCAUUACACAGCUCUAAAAAGGUGAGGGGUAUGAUAUAACAAAGUCAAUUUCUGAAACGUUGAAUAUGCAAUGUCACUCAGUUGGAAAUGAAUAGACAAUAAUACACAUAUAUAUACAGUAGAGAAUAUAUAUACACAUUAUACAAGACUCUACUCCAGCUAGCUAGAGUUUCCAUGGUGAUACUGUAAUGCUAUGCUAUCAUAAUAUAUAUUUAAUUCUUAUCAUAUAUACAAGUAUAUUUAUUUUCCUAUUUCACUUUUACCUAUACAUGUAUAUAUAUAUAUAUAUUUGAUAUUGUAUUAUAUUAUAUGAGAAGCAUGGGGACGUUGACAGAGGAGUACUCGAGACAUCAAUAUCAGCCCAAGAGCCAUACAUGUAUACUAGUACAAGGUCUGAUAUGGAAACCAUAAUUUAUAUAUAACUAUAUACAAGCAUGUAUAAUAAGCAAGUAUAACAUUGUAUCAUGGUUGUGGCAUUUUUCCUAUUAUAAAAAGUGUACAAUAACUGGAGAUACACCAGUGGGCGGAACCAUCAUUUGCAUAUUUUUUUUUAAAACUGUGCUGUGUAAAUAAAUUAUUGAACACCACCUGACAAUUUUAACACAUGGUGAAGUUCAAAUCAGAAUUCACGAGAUCUAGUGUCGAUAUCCAUUUUAUCAUCUCCCAGUUUAAUUUCACGAAAUGGGAGAUCAUCACAUGCUUGUGAGAAAAUCAUUGAACAAAAACUGUACACCCAAAUCGCCAAUGUUCACUGUAGUUGAGGUGCUCUGAUCAGACACAUUAAGCACAACCAUCCUCACCAACUAUCGGGUGAUUAGUGUGCGAUGAACAUGCAUGGCAGGAAGAGGAAAAUGCCCAAGCGAUGAUCACCUGACAAAAACUUACCUUUUCAUUAGGAUAAUUUUAAAAAAUCAUGCAAUAGCCACAGGUCACAUGACAGAUAUUAUAUUUCUAAUUGGUCAUGAUACAAGUAAGUUAUUGAAUAUCUAUUUCGAUGUAUCUUGUUUUAUUUGGACGAAGGGAAGAGACUCGUGCUUUGCACUCGUAACAGCCCUUUGUCCAAAUAAAUCAAGAUACGCCAAAAUAAAUUUACAAUAACUAUAACUUGUAAAAUGUAGGAGUUCAAUAUCCAUAUCCUUCUAAUUUCUUAUUAAGGUGGACUCAACGACUGGUGUUAUUCCACAUAUACACUGUAUGUGUAACUGUUUUUAAUGAAAUAUUUCAUGAAGACAUGAAAUUGUGCUCAGAGCCUCGAAUGAUAUUAAACUUAUGAAUGUUUUCACGUUAAUGAAAUCUACAAUUAGAGACAUUGUACAACUGUAUACGUAAGAUAUACAUAUUGCACAUGCUUGUAUUGUAAUGUAAAGUAUAUUAAAAAAUGACACCAGAGAA